rnacentral:lncRNA from 1 species
UAUUUUUGUAAGUGAUUAUUCAACAACAGUGUAAGUAAUUACCUUAGAUGUAUAUCAUUAUAUAGUAUAUCAAGUAUAUAUCAUACUUCUUGCAUUCCAGAAAUAAGUGUAUUGGUGACUGGAGUAUGCCCUCUUUAGUUAUGUAUGUAAUUCCACAUAAAACCAAUGGACACUUGGUUGGCUGAAGGUUGACUCAAACUUGAGUGAUAAUUUCAAGACCGUAUCUGCAGCUGUUUGGGUACUUAGAAACCAUCUGAUGUUGCUGUGUCCAAAGCACAACCAUUCUGGCUAAUUAGCUUGGCAGAAAUCUCUUCUCAAUGAAGUUUCAGUACAGCUUGUCUUACUUUCAAGAAAGCCUGAUACAAUUUCACCAGCAGUCUCCAUAGCACAUUUUAAGAGUUUAAUUUUUUACCUUACAAUGCCUCUCUCAGACAUCAAAGAGUACCUGACCCAUUGAAUUUGACUAUUUUACAGAAGUUCAUCUCAGAAAAAUGAUACAAGAUGGAAACAGCAGUCAAACAUUUCUUGGUGGAAUACCUCAAACACCAUCAGACCACAUACUAUAUGAAAAGCAGCUGAAUGGGAAUUUGGAGCACAGUGUCCUCUCCUAUGCAAUACAGCAUUCUUGCCAAUCUGAGAUAAACCUUUCCCUCGCUCUCCUGCCCUCCUCUGCUCCAUGAACUGAGCUCAUGUCUGCUGUGGCACUUUGGUGGAGCAAUGAAGGAACAUGUUAUGAGGUGAGUUGCUGGUAUCCUCAUUCCUCAAGUGCAGAGGAAUUUUUAAUGCAUUGAAGUUUCACAAGUUUGCUCAUCUGCCAUUCCUUGCUUAGCAAUAGUCAGAUUUGAAAUGUGGGAAAAUCCACUUGUAAAAUGAACACAAACUCCAUAUUGAAUUGAGAAAAUAGAAAUUUUCAAAAUAGGUAGUGUAGCUGAUGAGAGUCAAGGUGCAAAAAUGCCCAUACUGCUAAAAAAAUAGCUGUAGACAUAGCUAUUGUCAGAUUUGAUGUAUCCUGUCAGAAAGACCUACACACAAGAUAGAUGACUAAAGGUAAAGUACUCUGAAGUUGUAUGUCUUUUUUUUUUUUUUUUUUUUUUUUAAAUCCAUGUUCCUCCUUCAUGUGCUGAUUCUGCAGUAAACAAAACAAUAAGGGUAUCCAGGCUGGUUACAUAAAGCCAAGUUCUUUUCAUCUCAAAAAAUAUGGUUCCACAAAUGGACACAAAUGGUUGACUACUGCUGCAAAUAUUGUACUAAGGAGAUAUACCUCAUGGUCUGUUUACUGGAAACCUGUUUCAAAGGUUAAGAUGUUCACUGUUCCAUGUCAGUAGUUAGUUGAAACAUUUUGAAUAGUGAGAAGAACUAUUUGGUUUAGUUGAACUAUGCUCAAUUUUGGUUCAAGAAAAUAUCCAACUAAACUUCAAAAUGGAGGUUUUAAACAUGGACUUAGAAAAAAUUGACAUAUUGCUUUCUUAGUCUGCAGGAGAUUGGUUCAGCACAUUUCCUCUGCGAUAUGCUACACUUUUUUCUUUCCGGAUUUGUCUCUUGGACUUAAUAUCUGAGUUUCAGCUAACUUCUCAUUGUAUUAUUUCACUUUUUUUCACUUUUUCUUUCUUUUUUUUUUUUUUAAUCUUCUUUUGUCUCUUCAAAUUUUCAUAAAAUCAUAGAAUAUCCCGAGUUGGAAGGGACCCAUAAGGAUCAUUGAGUCCAACUCCUGGCACCACACGUCUACCCAGAAAUUCAGCCCAAAAUUUGGAUGUCUCUAGUUCCCUUUAUAUUCAGCCACUCUCAUAAGUAUUUGCAGUAUCUAUCCAUAUGUUUCAAGUGAAUUUCUUUAAGAUUUUUAUUUGUUCUGUACCCUCAAACACUAAAGUUAACUUGUCAUAUUCCCAAUGCAUGUGUUUGCCCCCUCCAUUAACUCUCUACAUGUCAAGGUCCAUAGUGAAAAGGUUUUAUGUCAGUGAUCUUACACAGGGUGGAUAAAAAUUAAUUUUCAGACAUUACUUAAACGACAAAAAAACUAAAUAGUUUUCAUAGACCCUUCCAGCUUUCCUACCACUUUCCUAAAACAAGAAAGAAAAGAAUCAUAUUUGCAUGGAGACAUUUUUUAUUUUUUUAUUUUUUUAUAAAACUUUCUGAGUGCACCAGUGAUACAUUUCUGUGCUUGUCCUUUGGCCAUCACAAAAAUGAAAACUAUGUCUAUGUUUUUAUUAAUUCUUAUUUAGAUUUUGAAUCAAACUAAUAUUCUCCCACUCUCAGCAUAUAUACAUGUUUGUUUGUCUUAAUUCAUGAGACCACACAGACUCACUUGUCUUGGGAGGGCCAGCUGCCCUGGUGUUCUUGUGGCUGGUAAUGGUCAAUAGCAGAUGUCUUGGCCAGAGCAUGAGGGCAAGUCCAAAAUGCAAUGCUGCUUUCCCAUCAUACCCUCUCAGCCACCAGCAAGUGACUCUUCAGAGUCUUUUUCAGACAGGGAGCUGUCUUCAUACUGAAAAGUUGUGGUAAGAUUCUUCUUUCACAGUUUUGUACAGUAGCUUGAUCAGCCCAUGAAUUCACAAACUCCUGCACCAAGGGAUUUCAAAAACCUAGGUACAUACUGAGUGUAUAUGAGUGAUAUUCUAGUCCAGUUAAUCUUGGAUGAAAGUAUACCAAAGCACUGAUUUAAAGUAAACUGGUAAGUCUUUUCCUUUAAUUUCUUAGCUGUUUCUUGGCCUGUUCUGCCUUAAAAUAACUUUGCUUUAUACCCACUCCAAAGAGGUGAAAGCCCUGAGGAGAACCAGGCCACGAAAAGCAGUUCAGUCAGUUUAUAAAGUUGAGAUUGACCAGGAUUGGAGUUUAAAAAAAAAAAUGUAAGCCCAAAAGACUCUACUCUUGCUCUGUAAUGUAGUCAAAUAAAUAUAUCUGGGAACAGUAGAUUAAGAUAUGA